rnacentral:rRNA from 1 species
CGUCAUAGAGGGUGAGAAUCCCGUAUAUGCCACGGACUACCAAUGCUCUGUGAUACACUCUCAACGAGUCGAGUUGUUUGGGAAUGCAGCUCAAAAUGGGUGGUAAAUUCCAUCUAAAGCUAAAUAUUGGCGAGAGACCGAUAGCGAACAAGUACCGUGAGGGAAAGAUGAAAAGCACUUUGGAAAGAGAGUGAAACAGUACGUGAAAUUGUUGAAAGGGAAGCGUUUGAAGUCAGUCGUAUCUGUCGGAAUUCAGCCUGGCUUCUGCCUGGUGUACUUUCCGUCCGAUGGGUCAGCAUCAAUUUUGACCGAGGGAAAAAGAUGUUCGGAAUGUGGCUGUCUUCGGGCAGUGUUAUAGCCUUGCGUUGUAUGUCUCGGUUGGGAUUGAGGAACGCAGCGCGCCUGUUGGCCGGGGGUUCGCGCCCCUCGGUACGCGCUUAGGAUGCUGGCAUAAUGGCUUUAAGCGACCCGUCUUGAAACACGGACCAAGGAGUCUAACAUGUGCGCAAGUGUUUGGGUGUCAAACCCAAGCGCGAAAUGAAAGUGAAAGGUCGGGAUCCUUCAUUGGUGCACCGACGCCCGGAGCAGACCUUCUGUGACGCAUCCGCGGUAGAGCGUGUAUGUUGGGACCCGAAAGAUGGUGAACUAUGCCUGAAUAGGGUGAAGCCAGAGGAAACUCUGGUGGAGGCUCGUAGCGAUUCUGACGUGCAAAUCGAUCGU